AGCCGUGCGAUGAGCACAGAGCGAAUUAUUCUUUCGCCUUUUACUAAAGAAUACCGUGGGCUCGUCGCUACCAGCGGCAUACGCCACUUUUUGGAAGGGUUACUUUGUGGUGACCC
rfam:Vigna radiata var. radiata cultivar VC1973A scaffold_100, whole genome shotgun sequence